CCAAUAGCGUAUAUUAAAGUUGUUGCAGUUAAAAAGCUCGUAGUUGAAUUUCGGGAUCAAGGAAUCGGUCAUGCCUUGGUAUGUACUGGUUUUAUUGGUUCUCACCUUCUAAAGAACCAUAAUGUCAUUUAUUUGAUGUUAUGGGGAAUUAGGACUGUUACCUUGAAAAAAUUAGAGUGUUUAAAGCAAGCUUACGCUUGAAUACAUUAGCAUGGAAUAAUGAAAUAGGACGUUCGAUCCUAUUUUGUUGGUUUCUAGGAUUGACGUAAUGAUUAAUAGGGAUAGUUGGGGGCAUUAGUAUUCAAUUGUCAGAGGUGAAAUUCUUGGAUUUAUUGAAGACUAACUACUGCGAAAGCAUUUGCCAAGGAUGUUUUCAUUAAUCAAGAACGAAAGUUAGGGGAUCGAAGACGAUCAGAUACCGUCGUAGUCUUAACCAUAAACUAUGCCGACUAGGGAUCGGAUGAUGUUAAUUUUUUAAUGACUCAUUCGGCGCCUUACG
rnacentral:rRNA from 1 species